rnacentral:rRNA from 1 species
GACGAACGCUGGCGGCGUGCUUAACACAUGCAAGUCGAACGGUAAGGCUCCAGCUUGCUGGGGUACACGAGUGGCGAACGGGUGAGUAACACGUGGGUGACCUGCCCUGCACUUCGGGAUAAGCCUGGGAAACUGGGUCUAAUACCGGAUAGGACCAUGGUGUGGAUACUGUGGUGGAAAGUUUUUUCGGUGUGGGAUGGGCCCGCGGCCUAUCAGCUUGUUGGUGGGGUAAUGGCCUACCAAGGCGGCGACGGGUAGCCGGCCUGAGAGGGUGGACGGCCACAUUGGGACUGAGACACGGCCCAGACUCCUACGGGAGGCAGCAGUGGGGAAUAUUGCGCAAUGGGCGGAAGCCUGAUGCAGCGACGCCGCGUGGGGGAUGACGGCCUUCGGGUUGUAAACUCCUUUCGCCAUCGACGAAGGGUUUCUGACGGUAGAUGGAGAAGAAGCACCGGCUAACUACGUG